CAUUUUGCUUACACCAAAAAAAUAUCUAAAAAUAGAUUAUUCUG
rnacentral:tRNA from 1 species